ensembl:snRNA U6 U6 spliceosomal RNA
GUGCUUGCUUCGGCAGCACAUAUACUGAAACUGGAAUGAUACAAAGAAGAUUAGCAUGACCCCUGUGCAAGGAUGACAUGCAAAUUUGUGAAGUGUUCCAUAUUAAA